AGGGAGCUGGAUGGGAAACAGAGCAGCUGGGUCUCAAACCAGUGUCCAUAAGGGAUGCUGGCAUCGCAGGUGGCAGCUUUACCCGCUAUGCCAUGAUAUCAGCUCAGCUCCCUCAUAUAUUUCUUCUUCUUUUCUUCCUUUCUUUCUUUCUUUUUUUAAGAUUUGUUCAUUUGAAAAGCAGAGUAGCAGAGAGGCAGAGGCAACGAUAGAUAGGUCUUCUCUCCAUUGGCUCACUCCCCAAAUGGUCACAUUGGCCGGAGGUGAGUUGAUCUGAAGCCAGGAGCCAGGAGCUUCUUCCAGGUCACCCAUAUGGGUGCAGGGGCCAAGGACUUGGGCUAUCUUCCACUGCCUUCCCAGGCCAUAGCAGAGAGCAUAGGCUCGAAAGUGGAGCAACUGGGACCUGAAACAGCACCCAUAUGGGAUGCCUGCACUGUGGGCAGCGGCUUUCCCCCACUACACCGCAGCAACAGCCCCAACCCUCAUAUAUUUCUGAAAGAUAAGGAUGUCCACUUUCUGCCACAGCUUUGACCUCUUUGAAUGUCUUUGGCUAUCCCCAAAUUAUUGAUGAUACUCUGGCAUAGAAAUAGAUGUGCUUUCAAGGGUUGGCUGCAGAGCUUCAGCUAAUGUCCACUCGUUCCAUCCUUACCUUGUCUUUGACUGUGGCAGGGCUUCCCUCAUCACAAAAUCAGUAACAGUCAGCAGGGUGGGCCAGGCAUUGAAGUACUUUACACACAGUGUGCUGUUGGAAUCCUCCCAUCAGCUGAUGACGUGUGUACUGUCAUUGGCCCCAGGUGAUAAAUAAGCACAGAGACCGUGAGGCCUGGUGCCAGUGUGUGGAAGAGCUGGGAGCACAGGCUUUAGCACCCUGCCCUCAGCCUCGGUUCUGCACUGCUUCUCAGAGGUGGCUGGUGGGGAAGUUGGGAAAGUAGUCCUUGAUUGCACUGCCUUAGGAGUCGAAAGAGCCCUGCAAAGCCUUUCUCAAACAUCACCUCUUGUGUAUGUGAGACCUUGGCCUCUCACCUCUGAAGCCUGCGUCUAAGUGAGCCCCUUGGGAAUGCUGAAAGGCUUCCUUCCUCCAGAACCCUGGGAGGGGAGCCUGCACUCUCCUUGUGAGGGUGCAGAAGUCCUUGUCUCCUUGCAGCCAUUCUGCCCGGUGGGGACAGCACACCAAGCUAGGUGAAGCCCAGAGCUUUCUCUGUCCAGGACUCUUUACCUUGAAAUGAGCAAAUGAGGGCAAGAAGGAAUGAAUGGAUUUUCUUUCCUUGUGGGCUAGGAAAGCUUGCAACCUGGGGGACGUCCUGAGAGACAUGUUAGGUCAAGGGGCCUCGCCAGGUUUAUUUAUUUUUUAAAAUCGUUUAUUUUCAUUUUGUUUUAAAGGAAAAGAGGGAGAGAGAGAGAGAGGGAGGGAGGGAGAUCUUCCAUCUGCUUGUUCACUCCACAAAUGCCUGCAACAGCUAGGACUGAUCAGGCCAAAGCUAGCAGCCAGGAACUCAGUGCGGGUGUCCCAUGUGAGGGUUGGGGCCCCAAAUACUUGGGCCAUCACCUGCUGCCUCUCAGGUUGCACAUUAACCAGAAACUGGAAUUGGAAGUAGAACUCAGACCUAUACACUGUGAUAUGAGAUGCCGGUGUCCUAGGCGGCAUCUUAAGCACUACACCGAACAUCUGCCCUGGUCAGGUUUAUUUUUGCAACCACUUGCAUCUGUCUAAUGAGGGUUUCUAAACUGUGAAGGCCUAUAACGGUUUAGGAUGCUGGAAUAAGAAAGAGCCAGGUUUGAUUUAUAUGGGAAUCCGUACCUGGUUACUUGACUCCCUUAGCAGCGACCAGUCGGCUGGCAAAGGAAGAUUCAGCUACCUGAGUGAGACGAGGCUAGAGAACAUAAGCUAGUGUCGAGGGGCAGGCAGAGAAGUCAGCUUGGCGAGGCUGGGGGAGCUUCUGUUGUGAGUCUACUGCUUUGGGGAGGGCAGCCAGGCUGCCUAGAGCCUUGUGUUGCAUCCACCCCAAAGAAUGUGGGUAUGUGAUUGCCGUAUCUACGUCCUUGCUGUUUUCUUUUUGGCUGCUGCUCUGGGGGUAGGCACGAUGCUGGUCAGUGUGCAGAUGGGGUUUGAGUUCUUUUCUGUGUCAGAGACUCUGCUUGAUAAUGGGGGUAUGGCCAACAUGGUCUCUUGAGGUCUUUGUAGCCAGCAGUUCAGUGUUAUGGUUUCCACUGUCACAGUGUCACAAUGUUACUUGAUUAGCAGGAAGAGGAAUCAUAAAUGGCCGAAACUAUAAAACAUUGGAUUAAAAAAACUUUUAUUAUGCAAGAUUUUACACAUUCACAAAGGUAGAAAGAAUGAUAGAGCGAUUCUAAUGUCCCCUACUGUUCAGCUAUAGUAGCCAUCAACUCAUUUUUCGGCGUUUCAUCUGUCCUCCCUCUUCUGACACAUUUGAAGUGAAUGAAAAGUAUUUCAUUUAUAAUAUGCUUUUUUUUUUUUUGCUCUUUUUUUUUUCUUUUUUGACAGAGUGGAUAGUGAGAGAGAGAGACAGAGAGAAAGGUCUUCCUUUGCCAUUGGUUCACCCUCCAAUGGCUGACACAGCUGGUGCACUGCAGCCGGCGUACCGCGCUGAUCCGAAGGCAGGAACCAGGUGCUUCUCCUGGUCUCCCAUGGGGUGCAGGGCCCAAGCACCUGGGCCAUCCUCCACUGCCUUCCUGGGCCACAGCAGAGAGCUGGCCUGGAAGAGGGGCAACUGGGACAGAAUCCGGUGCCCCAACCAGGACUAGAACCCGGUGUGCCGGCGCCGCUAGGUGGAGGAUUAGCCUAUUGAGCAGCGGCUCCGGCCAUAAUAUGCUUAUUUUUAUUUCACUAUAUAGCUUUAGAAUAUAAGAACUCUUUAUGAAAACAUUACCACAAUGCCAUCAUCACACCUAAAACAUGAAUCCCUUAAUUAUCAUCAUAUGUGCAGCUUGCGUUCAAAUUUCCCCAAUUGUCUCACAAUUUUUUUUAACAGCUUGUAUGAAGCAGGAUCCAAAUAAGGCCCACACAUUGCAUUUGGUUGCUGUAUUUCUAAAUUCUCCCUCUUUCCAUUUUUAGUAAGCCUUUUUCUAUUAAAGUGUAAUAUAUAGAGAAGAGUAUAUAGAUCCUUCGACAUAACUUCAUUCUUUUUUUUUAAGUGAAUAUACCUGUCAGAACCACCACCCAGGUCAUGAAACAGAACAAUGGCAGGACCCCAGUGCUAUCUCAUUGUAAUUUUAAUUUGCCUCUCUGCUGACUACUGAUGUUGAGCCGAUUUAUUUAUUUAUGUGUGUGAAUAAUUGUCGUUUGCAUGUUCUCCUUAAUGAAGUGCCUUUUUAAGCCUUUUGCUGCUCCUCCUCUUUUAAAACUGCUGCUUUUUUUUCUCACUGAUUUGUGGAAUUAUUUUUAUAUUCUGGAUAGGAGUCCUUUUUUGAGCUAUAUGUAAAUUUCUGCCACAGUUUGGUUUGCUUUCAUUCUCUUAAUGGUGUCUUGAUGAGCCGAAGUUCUUGUUGAAAUUGUUCUCUGCAUGGUUUGUGCCUUUUGUGUCCUACUUUAGAAGUCAUUCCCUGUCCUCAAGGGCAUGAGGGUAUUCCCCUGGAAGUUUCAGUGCUGUGCCUUUCACAUUUAUGUUACAGUCCUUCUGGGAUCUGGUUUUGCGAUUGGUGUGAGGUAGGGUCACAACUCACUGUUUUUUCCUGUGGACUGUCCCGUUGUACCACAACAUACUGAAAGAAUAUCCUCUUCCCUCCCUGUUGUGUGGUGGGAUCUUGUUAGGAAUUUGAGGACUGAACAUGUGUGGCUCUGCCUCUGAGCGCUCUCUCCACUUGGUCCCAUAGGUCUGCUCAUGUACCUUUAUGCUUUGAUGGGCAGAAGCUUGUGCUAAUAGCAUACCGACUCAGCUGCUGUCAUUUUCUCAGGCUUGACAUCUGGUGCUAUGAUUCUUUCAACUUUAGUUUUUUUUGAGAUCGUUUUGGCUAGUCUUUGGCCCUUUGCAUUUCAUAUAAGAAGGAAAAAUAUCUUGCCAAUUUCCAGAUAUUAUAUUGCUGAGAUUUUUAUUGGAAUCCUAUUAAAUCUGUAGAUCAAUUUGGGGAGAAAAGACAUCUAUACACUGUUGAACUUUUGUAUCUAGCGACACAGCAUAUUUCUCUACUUAUAUAGGUCUUCUUUAAUGUGUUUCUUAAUAUUUCCUAGUAAUGUUACAUGCUUUUCUGUAUGGAGAUACUACACACAUUUUACAUAGAUUUAUUCCCAAGAACUAGAUGUUUUUUGAUGCUAAUGUAAAUAGUAAGUUUAAAAUUUCAUUUUCUUCUUCCUGCCCUACUAUUAAAGCUAUUGACAGUUUGUCUUUGCUGAUGAAGUGUCUAAAAGCCCAUGUUAGGACUGCUCUUUAGAAUUGAGUUUAGUGUGCUUUUAUAGUUUAUAUUUGCUUCCCAUUUACAGAUAAUCUAACAGUACAGCUGGUGUCUCAUUCUUCCUCAGGUAUCAGCUGUAAUCUCCCCCGGGCGCAGUUGGACAGAGGGUGGCUCCAUAGUCUGUUUGGGUGACGGUGGAAAGAGUGUCCUGGGCAGAGCUCAUCCUAGGGGAGCUGGAGCCAGGCUGGACCCACUUGACCCCGCAACGAAGCUGUGAGGGAGGCCGUGUGGUGUCUGUCACUCAUUUGUCUUCUAGCCUGGGUGUUCAUGGACUCAAGUCUUGUCUGAGCCCUUCAGAGGACGGUAAAAAUGCAAACAGCUGUUUUAGUGGUGAUUCCAGUGAACACUGGACAUAAGCUGUCCUGCUUUGCUGCCCCUUUGAUAUCACAUUGCAGAAGGAGAAGGCUUUGUCCCUCAUCACGCCACAGAGCUCCUAUGGCCUCGGCACUUUGCAGCAACACCUACCAGAGGUGUUCUCAGGGCCAGCAGGAACAGCGGUCUUGGGAAUAAUGGCUUACGUUUAUCAAGAGCUUGCUAUGUGCUAGGCACUAUUCUAACUGCUUUGUAAAUAUGCACCACUUUAAUCAUCACAAUGGCCCCUGUGAGGUAGUUUGGAUAAUGUCUUUAUCAUGGGGGAAAUGAGGCCCAGAGAGGCAAAAUAACUUGCCCCAGGUAGACACAGCUCAGAAUGGCAAAGCCAGGCUUCACACCCAAGUUGGCAGGCCCCUGAGCUUGUGCUCUUAACAUUAGAUCGCCUGUCAAGUGACAGUAGCAGGUGGGAGCUGGCAGAGAAGAAAAAGAACAAACUGGGGUCCCUACAGGGUGCCUGGCCAAGGGCACCCAUGGAGCUGGCCUUCCCGUGUCUGCCAGACUCCCCUUGAGGACUGUUGGAAGGAUCUCGGGGUGGAGGUGGGGCUGCUGUAGGAGGGGCUGCGUGCUAAAUUAGCAGUUUAGGUCAAGAGACAUGAAACGUAGGUGAGGGAAUCCAAAUUUGGUCCGUCGAUCAGAUUUAUAGGCUGAAGAACUGUUGCAGUCAUUGGUUUUCCAGUUUUAUCCCCUUAAAUUUCCUUGGAGUAAGUGGAGCCAUGACUUUUGGUCUGUUCUUUCUCUGGAGUGACAGGCACAUCUAUAUUUAGACCAAUAGUCAUGCUUCUGUAGUGAUGGAUCAGUGUGUGCCUGCAAGGACGGCCGCGCAGCAAGACAACAUGUGUCUCUUUAUGAACAGAUAAAUCAUCCACAUUGCAGCUCUGAUGUGCACACGGGCCAGCGUAUACAUCACAGGAAUUUAAGUCCUUCCUGAAAUCCUGGAACAUACAGUCUGCCACAGGUAUCCCAUACAACCCACAGGGACAGGCAAUCAUUGAAAGAACUCAUAGGACAAUUAAAGAUCUCUUACAAAGACAGAAAAACAAUCAUAUGCCCCCAGACCCACAGCUUGCUUUGACUGAUGUCCUUUUCACUAUCAAUUUUCUUACUUUUGAUUCCUAAGGGAUCAGCCCAGCUUAUAAACACUGGGGAUCCUUUCCAUCCCAGACCCCAGCCCCUAUGGUUAGGAGGAAAGACCCCCUGACAGGAGAAUGGAAGGGACCACACCCUCUGCUAACCAAGGGCCGAGGAUAUUCUUGUGUCUUUCCAGAGAAUGCGGGACAGCCCGUUUGGAUACCAGCCAGAUUACCAUUGUUCCUCAUUCCUACCCCCAUCUGAGCAAGCACUCCUGUGGUCUACCAUUUUGAGCGCUGGUUAGUCAAUGACGGGUAAGAUCCCCUGGGGGACAACCUAAGACAGGCACAGCCGCGUACGGAGACCACAUGGAAACGGGGUCAACAAUGGUAUGGCCAAGGAUCAUGCCUCCCAUUGCUCAAAAAUAAAUGAAAAGGGAGAAAUGUGGUGGAAUGAGAAGGCCAUGCCAAGAUGGCUUCUGUCAAGCGAGCAUCAGUUACUCAGGAAUGGCUUCGAAACCCACUUGGCAACGAAGCCUGCCUGCUAACAGGCUGUGAUUGGAUGGCUUUGGAAACCACAUGGAUACGAAGCCUGCCUGGCAACAGGCUGUGAUUGGAUGGCUUUGGAUACUGCCUGGCAACAGGCUGUGAUUGGUUAGGGCAUAAACUGCCCCUUGACCAAAUUGGCUGCCUUGGCUAUUUAAGCAGCUGUACCAACUGAAAUAAACGAGUCUGCAGGCUGCUCACCUCUGGUCCGCUUUCACCCAACUCCUGGGGUCUGUGUGGUGACUCUGCGACUCGCCUCUACCACUCUCCUCCUCUCAGAACAAAUCUACCGCAACAGAUCUCUACACGUCAGAGGGGCUUCAGCACAAAUUCACCCAUCAGGCAGAUAGACUCACAUGUGGACUGGGACCAGAGAUUGCCACUUGGGCCAAGUGUCCAUGAGCUCAAGUAAGCAAGGAUUCUGAGGCAGCCACAUCACAGGCUGAAUGGCUUUAGGGCUUCGGAGCCUGGCAUGCGAGAACCGUUGGUUGUGGAUUAGAGAACAUCACAGUCUCUCCCACUGUUGGGAGCAGAAACUGGAAUUUGCUUGAGCCCCAUGUUUAUUUUCCCUUCCUCAUUUCUUGUGUCCCUAAGUUCUAUCGAUUCUUCCCUUUUAAUGGCUUUCAAAUCUAUCUCCUCUUUCCUAUCUCCAUUGCCACUAAUAGUUUGAAUCCUUUACAUCUUUUUUUUUUAGCCCAGAUUAGACAACAGCCUCCUAAAUGCUCUGUUCUUUUCUCUAAUUAGUUGCAUUCACCGCCACCAAAAUUAUCUUUCUAAGACAUAAAAUCAUUAUGUGACUUCCUUCCUUAAAACUAUUUCAAUAACUCUCCUUGCUUAGAGGAUAAAAUUUAAUGCCCAAGGAGUGGGGUCCACAAGGCUCCUUCAGAACUGGCCCAGGCUUCUCUUUUAAGGCUCAUCUACCUGUCUCCUCGCUUGUGGCCCUGCCAGAGCCGCUGGACUUUAAGACUCAGGGCCUCAGUGGUGAUGUCUCUCAAAGACAGCACCUGCCACCCCACUGCUUACUCUUGCUUGGCUAACUCUUAUCUUUCCCUAGAGGUUAUCCUCAUCCUCACCUUGGGUAGAAGUGUGAUACAUGCUCUAAGCAUUUCCCAAACAUCCCACUGCAAAAAUGUCUUGUCUGUCCUGAUAGACUGUGAGGCCCUUGAAGGAAGAUCUUCAUCCUCCUCAGAGUCCUAGUGCACCCAGGCACUUUGCAGAUGCAUGCUGACUGAGUUCUUUCAUGCACCCACCCACCCAUCCAUCCAUCUAUACAUCUGUUCUUUGAACUGAUAGUUUUUUUUUUCUUAAAGAUUUAUUUAUUUGAAAGAGUUACAGAGAGCAGAGAGAGAGAAAGAUUGAGAAAGGUUUGGUUCGCUCCUCAAAUGGCUGCAACAGCUGGAUCAGAGCCAGUCUGAAGCCAGGAGCCUGGAGCUUCUUCUUGGUUUCCCAUGUGGGUGCAGGGGCCCAAGGAACUUGGGCUAUCUUCUACUGCUUUCCCAGGCUAUAGCAGAGAGCUCAGAAGUGGAGCAGCUGGGACUCGAACCCACAUAUGGGAUGCUGGCAGUACAGGCAGUGGCUUUACCCACUAUGCCACAGUCCAUGUCCCCAACUGAUAUUUUUUGAACAUUUUCUAUAUACAAGGCACUGCUCUAGGUGCUAGAAGUAUGUAGCAAACGACACAAAAUGCUUCUUUCCACACAGUUUAUAUUCUUGCAAGCUUUUAUUCUAGUUUUACAUAGUUUCUCCUAGGGAAGGCAGGCAGUAAAGAGGAAACAUAUCAGGUGGCGUGAAGUGCUUGGCAGAGAAGUAGAGAGGGUCCUGUGACAGCACACGUGGCGUGGGGCUGUCCGGGAAGGCCCCUCUCAGAGGACACCCUAGAGGUUGUGGCCUGGACGCACGGCUCUACUGAAACAGGGCAAAGAUCCUUCCAGGUGGAGGGGACUGACGGCACAAAGGCAAGAAGAAGCCUGCGAGAACAAGCAGGCUUCCGGAAUAAAUACGCUGGUUACCUGGAGCCAGGGCAGUACCAGCGCAGCGAGGAGGAUACCUCCAAUGGAGAUAGAACUGAGGGGAUAGAUUGUCUGGUUUUGGGGUCAAAGGUCAUUCGUUCUUUAAAGCAUACUAGACUGGCAGCUGCUGAGUACAAAAGAGAAAGGCACUGCUGCUCACAACACACAAAAGCACCUAGGAAUGCUGGUGCCCAGCACCUCCCUCCUUGCCACUUGCCCUGGAGCCAAGCUACCCAUUCCGAAGACACUGCCCAGCGAUAACUCCCUUGGGUUUCCGUUAUUCGGGCCUUCGCUUUGCCCGAGCUGCACAGUUAAUACACCCUCGAGAAUGUGAACACGUUUAUUUGCUCUGAAAUACGCUCGCUUCAGCUUUACAGUGGGAAAAGUCCAUUCAUUUACCCACCUCUCAUCUAUUUCCCAGCUUAAUAUUCCUUCCCUGUUCUCCCUGAAAAACAGGGCGUCCUGUAUCUGCAGUCCUGUGUACUUUUGUGCAGGGCAGCAAACCAUGUGUCCCUGUACCCACAUGGGCCCUGGCCGAGGGUUACGUAAUGAGAGCCGUUCCAGGUACAAUUGGCUCACGCAGGAGGCCACGAUGUGGCGACCACGGAACUCACUGCAGAAGGGAAGCAGCUCCUGGUGUUGAUGGAGUUCUGAAUCAGGUUUUUGCCCCAGCUGACUGCUGGGCUGGGAGGCGGACCUCUUGUGGAAGAGGAAUUAAGUAGAGGAGGAGUCAUUGUCAUUAGGAUACCAUACACAUGGCAAAGCCAAACAGAACCGCCCACCUCCUCGCUGACUCACCUACCCAAAGCGUGAUUAACCAGGAGGUGGUGGGAACAAGCAGGUAUCUGAUUCAGUGAGAUGGUGGGGGUGCCCUUCAUCACCCCAUCGACUGCUGCUUUUCUGGAUGGCCUAGAAGCCGGGAGAUCUCAAAAUAUGCAUUAACUCGUGAAGUCUUUCCUGGCCUUGUGACACCCUUGCCACUUACUUGGUCUAAGAAGUAGGACUCGUGCCAACAGCAAGACUUCACAGGGAUAUGUGAUGCUCUUUGACGUCCCGGGAGCCCAGCACGUCUAGGAUUAUCCAGAGGUCACCAGACAAUGACUUCAGUGCCCUCAGGGGAGGUGCAUCAUUUGCCUGGACUCCUUGAGGUGGAUGAACCCAGAAGAGAUCUGCUCUUGGCUCAGUCUGACCCACAUCAGGGCGAGCGCUGCCACUAGAUGAGCAGGGCUGUAAUAUGGGCAUCAUGAGAGAGUCGUCUGUCCUGUGCCUCUUGGACAUAAUAGGAUAAUGGAGGAAAGCACCAACAGCCAGCAGCUUGGAGUCCAUACCUGUGUUGGCUACAUCAAAGCAACAUUUACUAUCUUAGUCAUGGAAAAUUCAUGUCGUGGCAAUGUAAACACUGCUUUAUCCCCUUUUAUGUUUAUAUGAAGCAGCAUUCAGCUUGUACAUUAUGUUUGAAACAUCAAGUAUAAUGAUUGGUCAUAUUUGAAUGCAUACUUGAAUAUGAAUACUGCCUAUGUUUUAA